rnacentral:rRNA from 1 species
UCUUGGUCGUAAAUAAAUAAAGAUUUACCGGAGUACUAUGAAUCAAUUUAAAAAAUUUAAAACUCAAAGGGCUUGGCGGUGUUUUAGACCUCUCAGGGGAACCUGUCUCAUAAUCGACAAUCCACGCUAGACCUAACCUCUAUUUGCAAUUCAGUUUGUAUACCGUCGUCGUCAGGUAACUUUUAAAAAACAAGAAGUUGGCAAAGAAAUUAAUUGAAUUUAGACGUCAGAUCAAGGUGCAGCCUAUGUAGAGGUGAGGAUGGGUUACAAUUAAAACUUAUAACUACGGAUAGAAUAAUGAAAUAUUUAUUCUAAUGAAGGAGGACUUGAAAGUAAAAUAAAUUUAUAUAGAUAGUUUGAAUAAGGCUCUGAAACGUGC